GCCAAGCCAGCCGGCUCCAGAGUCCAGACUCGACAGAAAACGCAGUUAGAGGAAACUUCCACCCAAGCAGACGUUGAGGCCCAGAUUUCCCUGCCAAGCACUCUUAAGACUCAUCAUGCUCGGAGAGUCCAUUCUGGGGGCAAAUAGGUGGAUGCUUUCCAUCGAGGGCAGAGUUCUCCAACCAAAUCCAACUGAGUGACCGUUCCAAAUUCACUUCUGCUCUGGCUGUGCUUUUUGCAUCAUACUAUAUAUUUAACAUUGAAUAUCCUGCGGAGGCAACCACUACAUUAGAAUUUAUCCAGAGGGUAGAAGACUCCAGCCCAGGAAAUUGACUAAUUCAGGCCCGUUUCUGAAGAAAAAUACAGUUCUGGGAGAAAAACAACAUUCAGGGACCAAAUUCUACUGUUUGAAAUCCUGCUGUUUUUAAAUAAUUUCAUUUGCCUUUUAUACAUUCUAAUUUUAACCGAACAUUUUAAUACAUUUGAACAGGAUUGAUUUGUAUGUUCAGAAAAGUG